GAUGAACGCUGGCGGCGUGCCUAAUACAUGCAAGUCGAGUGAAUGGAUUAAGAGCUUGCUCUUAUGAAGUUAGCGGCGGACGGGUGAGUAACACGUGGGUAACCUGCCCAUAAGACUGGGAUAACUCCGGGAAACCGGGGCUAAUACCGGAUAACAUUUUGAACCGCAUGGUUCGAAAUUGAAAGGCGGCUUCGGCUGUCACUUAUGGAUGGACCCGCGUCGCAUUAGCUAGUUGGUGAGGUAACGGCUCACCCAGGAAACGAUGCGUAGCCGACCUGAGAGGGUGAUCGGACACACUGGGACUGAGACACGGCCCAGACUCCUACGGGAGGCAGCAGUAGGGAAUCUUCCGCAAUGGACGAAAGUCUGACGGAGCAACGCCGCGUGAGUGAUGAAGGCUUUCGGGUCGUAAAACUCUGUUGUUAGGGAAGAACAAGUGCUAGUUGAAUAAGCUGGCACCUUGACGGUACCUAACCAGAAAGCCACGGCUAACUACGUGCCAGCAGCCGCAGUAA
rnacentral:rRNA from 1 species